UGAAACACGGACCAAGGAGUCUAACAUGUGCGCGAGUCACUCGGUCUUGAAUAGGCCAGGGAGGCGCAAUGAAAGUAAUACAUUUUGUUACGAUCUUCAUUUUGCUUUGUUGAUAAAAAAUUAUUGGCAAACAAUGAAGCGCAGUAACGGCCUGCCAAUUUCGCAUAUUGACGAUUUGGCAGAGUUAUAGCGUACACGUUGGUACCCGAAAGAUGGUGAACUAUGCCUGGGCAAGACGAAGCCAGAGGAAACUCUGGUGGAGGUCUGUAGCGAUUCUGACGUGCAAAUCGAUCGUCCGACCUGGGUAUAGGGGCGAAAGACUAAUCGAACCAUCUAGUANCUGGUUCCUUCC
rnacentral:rRNA from 1 species